GGGGCUAAAGCUUGAUACCGAAGAUAAGAAUUAUUACUUUUAAGUAAUAGUGGUAGGGGAGCAUCCCUCUUUCGUUGAAGGUGAGUCGUGAGGCUUGCUGGAGGAUGAGGGAGAGAGAAUGUUGGCAUGAGUAACCGCAAUUCCGGUGAGAGCCCGGAACACCGUAAACCCAAGGUUUCCUUGGCAAUGGUGAUCAGCCAAGGGUUAGGCGGACCUAAGGCGCAACCGAAAGGUGAGGCCGAUGGACAGCCGGUUAAUAUUCCGGCCCUUUCUUAUAAAUUUCCAAAUAGGAACGAAGAUUAGUAAUUUAAGUGGAUUAUUGAAUUUCCAUUCAUUCUUUAAGGAGCAAUCCAAGAAGCGUGAAAAGGUGGGAUUUCGGUUCCAUCGAUUUGAGUGAGCAAUCUUCCCAGAAAAGCUUUUUUGGAGCUAAUUUAUAAGGAAACCGUACCGUAAACCGACGCAGGUGGGUGGGCGUAAGUGUGCCAAGGUGAACGAGUGAAACUUCGUCAAGGAACUCGGCAAAAAAGUGAUCGUAACUUCGGGAUAAGACCUGGGGAUACAGUAAUGUAUCCCCCGCAGCGAAAGUACUCCUAGCGACUGUUUAUCAAAAACACAGGUCCCUGCUAAACUCGUAAGAGGAUGUAUAGGGGCUGAGGCCUGACCAGUGCUGGAACAUUAACAGCGUCGGUCUUUCUUCGUUUACGAGGGAAGGCUGAAUGCUCGAAGUGCCAGUGAACGUCCGCGGUAACUAUAACCGUGUUAAAGUAGCGUAAUCCCUUGUCGGGUAAGUUCCGACCCGCACGAAAGGCUUAACGACUGGGAGGCUGUCUCGACGAAGUGCUCGGUGAAAAUACAAUACCGGUGAAGAUGCCGGUUACCUGCGGCUAGACGAGAAGACCCCGGGAGCUUCACUGUAGUCAGAUAUUGACUUUUGAUUUUAGAUGCGAAGCGUAGGUGGUAGACUUUGAAGUUUUUCUUUCGGGAAAAAUGGAGUCGCCAAUGAGACACCACUCUUUUAAAAUCUUAAUUCUAACCUGGCCAUACCUCACUGUAUUUAAUCUUUUGAAUAUAGUGAGGUAUGGCGGGGACAGUUUCUGGCGGGCAGUUUUAGUGGGGUGCUUUUCUCCUAAAGAGUAACGGAGAAGUUUAUAAGGUCAGCUAGCUCCGGAUGGAAAUCGGAGUGAUUGUGUAAAGGCAUAAGCUGGCUUUACUGCGAGACGGAUAUGUUGAGCAGUUGGGAAACCAGAACUUAGUGAACCGACCGUGUAUGAUUUUAGAAGCACGGGAGAUCAUCAGACAAAAGCUACCCCGGGGAUAACAGGUUGGUAGGGCCCGCGAGUUCACAUCAACGGCCCUGUUCGACACCUCGAUGUCGGCUCAUCACAUCCUGGAGGUGAAGCAGCUUCCAAGGGUAUGGCUGUUCGCCAUUUAAAGUGGUACGUGAGCUGGGUUCAGACCGUCGUGAGACAGGUUGGUCUCUAUCUACCGCAGGCGUUGAGUUUUGAGAAGAUUUACUCCUAGUACGAGAGGACCGGAGUGAACUAACCUCUGGUGUACCAGUUGUUCUGUCAAGAGCAUUGCUGGGUAGCUAUGUUAGGAAUGGAUAAGCGCUGAAAGCAUCUAAGCACGAAGCCAACUUCAAGAUUAGAACUCAUAGACCCCUCAGAGAUGAUGAGGUUGAUAGGUUGCAGGUGUAAGGGUAGUAAUGCCUUUAGCCAAGCAAUACUAAUAGGUCAAAGCAAUUUUA
rnacentral:rRNA from 1 species